rnacentral:rRNA from 1 species
GACGAACGCUGGCGGCGUGCUUAACACAUGCAAGUCGAACGGAAAGGCCUCUUUCGGGGGGUACUCGAGUGGCGAACGGGUGAGUAACACGUGAGUAACCUGCCCUUGACUUUGGGAUAACUUCAGGAAACUGGGGCUAAUACCGGAUAGGAGCUCCUGCUGCAUGGUGGGGGUUGGAAAGUUUCGGCGGUUGGGGAUGGACUCGCGGCUUAUCAGCUUGUUGGUGGGGUAGUGGCUUACCAAGGCUUUGACGGGUAGCCGGCCUGAGAGGGUGACCGGCCACAUUGGGACUGAGAUACGGCCCAGACUCCUACGUGGGGCAGCAGUGGCUAAUAUUGCACAAUGGGUGGAAGCCUGAUGCAGCAACUCCGUGUGCGGGAUGACGGCCUUCGGGUUGUAAACCGCUUUCGCUCAUGACGAAGCUUUGUGUGACGGUAGUGGGUAAAGAAGCACCGGCUAACUACGUG